rnacentral:lncRNA from 1 species
GGCAAAACAUCAGAGCGACUACUAAGAAUUUACAAAAGAGUGAAUCUUUGUACAAAAUACAAAUCCUACAUCAAAGAAAGGCGCGGAAGAUGGGAAGUGGCCCGGUGGUGGAUUCCUGUGCACGUCUACUGCCUGGGGGCGCAAAACAACAAAAGGGGUGAGUGGACCCAAAAACAAAGCUUAGAAACUACCAUAUGAACAUACUAACCCCACUGUAAAAACAGUUAUACAAACUAGCUUAUUUUCUUUAUUUUUGAAAUCAGUGCAUGUAUAUAUAUAUACAUUUGAAAACAGUUUAAACUAUCACCUAGGUGUACCCUUAUUUCCGUCAAUUCCUUAUAUCCGUCAAUUCAUUGCAUCACCAUGGGUGACACAUACUCGCAGGUCUCAGUGACACGAAGUCAGUCCUAGCCGCAACUCGCAGGAUUCAGGGAACCGUAGUCCACCUUUAUCCGCAUUACUCGCUCCACACGAGUUCGAGUAACAAAGAACUCGUGGGGCAACUGUCAAGCAUGCUGACUAAACCGAAGGCAACAAAUAUAAUCGAAGGCAACAUUUAAUAUCUGGGUACCAUGUGGUUUAAGAAAAUAUAAAGUUUCUGAAGAAAAUCUGUUGAAUAAUUAACUGUCUGUAACCUUUAAAAUUCUGCUGCCAUUUAUCUGAUAAUUAACGAGAAUAUCUUUUCCUGUAUUCUUUAAAAGGAAAUUUCACUCGGCAGCAUGCAACAUAAAAUAUUUAACAGCAUAAAACAGCUUAUAACUGAAACUGAACUGCUUAAAUUCAUUUAUUAAAACAAAGAGUCCACUCACUGAUAGUCUGAGCUCGCUGGACCUCUUGAAGGUCCCUCCUGUGGGUCAACUAGUGCCCGGGUGCCUUAC